AAAGUGAAGCAUUGUGAAUACUUUUCAGAUGAACUGUAAAAGGGUUGUCCGUGGUGCCACGUGUCAGAUACAAAGGUUUAACAUGUUCACAGCUGGUAUUUGAGUGUUUUUCUUCAAACAAAGUAAAGCUAGAGCAGUUAACUAGCAACAAUUUGUCUCUUUAGAAUUUGCAGUUUGCAGCCAUCUUUCCUGAUGUCAAAAACCAGUAUGGCUCGAGGGCCUCAGGUCUAUCCUCAGGAUCUGUGCAGAUUCAAUCAGCUGUUUUCAAUGGAAAACAGAUAAAUGUUCCCACAGGUUCUUACAACCAGAGAUCUAAUAAGAGCUGAGAUUCAUUGAUGUGAGGUACCA